GAUGAACGCUAGCUACAGGCUUAACACAUGCAAGUCGAGCGACCGGCGCACGGGCGAGAAACAUGUAUCCAUCCUGCCAUUUAGGCGGGGAUAGCCUUUCGAAAGAAAUAAUAAUACCCGAUGUAAAGGACGGGGAGGCGUUCCAUUCGGUGGUUGGUGAGGUAACGGCCCACCAAGCCUUCGAUGGCUAGGGGUUCUGAGAGGAAGGUCCCCCACAUUGGAACUGAGACACGGGCCAAAAUGCUACGGGAGGGAGCAGGGAGGAAUAUUGGGGAAUGGGCGCUAGGCUGACCCAGCCAAGUAGCGUGAAGGAUGAAGGAUUAUGGAUCGUAAACAUCUUUUAGAGAAGGAUAUGUAUUAGAUGAAUAAGGAUCGGCUAACUCCGUGCCAGCCGCCGCGGUAAUUC
rnacentral:rRNA from 1 species